rnacentral:rRNA from 1 species
AGGCAGCAGUGGGGGAUAUUGCACAAUGGGGGAAACCCUGAUGCAGCGACGGGAAGAAAAUGACGGUACCUGAAGAAGAAGCCCCGGCUAACUACGUGCC